rnacentral:rRNA from 1 species
AAUACGGAGGGUGCAAGCGUUGUUCGGAUUUAUUGGGCGUAAAGCGCGUGUAGGCGGUCUUUUAAGUCUGAUGUGAAAGCCCUGGGCUCAACCCAGGAAGUGCAUUGGAUACUGGGAGACUUGAAUACGGGAGAGGGUAGUGGAAUUCCUAGUGUAGGAGUGAAAUCCGUAGAUAUUAGGAGGAACACCGGUGGCGAAGGCGGCUACCUGGACCGAUAUUGACGCUGAGACGCGAAAGCGUGGGGAGCAAACA